rnacentral:misc_RNA from 1 species
UUUCCGUAGGUGAACCUGCGGAAGGAUCAUUGCCACACCGAUCCAAGAUCGACACAAUAUGUGAACUGUCGAACCGUAUCGACUUAGAAGUAGUUCUUUCGGGAGCGAAACUGAGUUGGUAUUUGGUUCACCCUAACCAACCUUUAAACAACAUGAAUUAUCACUGGAACUAAAUGUUUUGUCGAGUUUGUCUUGACUUAACGACUAGAUUAAAAUUAUAAACAACUUUUAACAAUGGAUAUCUAGGUUCUUGCAUCGAUGAAGAACGCAGC